rnacentral:hammerhead_ribozyme from 1 species
AUCCAGAUGAGGAGUCCUCAAUUAGACGAAACGGGCGUCCUGGAU